GACAAUACUGAAGCUGCAACAGCAAUUGGUGACGGAAGUAGAAUGCUCUUUAAUAAAUAAAACUGGCUUCCAGAAUGGCUGGAUAGGAAGAUCCUCAAUGAAACAAACAUCUGGUUGUGUUUUAUUUUAUUAAAAAAGAAA